AAAACGAGAAACUAAUAGAAGGUGGGUAGAAAACUGGAUUACCAAAAACGCCCUUAUACAGAGAACUAAUAGAUAUAUAUAUAUAGAGAGAGAGAGAGAGAGAGACAGAGAGACAGAGAGAGACAGAGAACCAGGAGUCUGAGAAAAGCCUCCGUUGGGCCGUUACAGUCUCCUCCUCCGUCUGCUUCUGCGUCUCCACAUUCAUUCAUCUUCUAUUUACUCCACUCUAUACAUAAACCUCGCUCUCUUCAAUUCUCUUUCUCUUUCUCUCUUUUUCGUUUUAUCAUUUUCUCUUCUGGUUUGAUACGGGUUGGAAUCUCGGUCAGCCAUGGUGGAAUUCCAGAAUUGACUCCUCUGGAUGAUGAAGAGACAGAACAAGAUUGAAUGGAGGACGUGCCGGGGUCAUUUGGCACGAGUGCAAGCUUUGCUAUUCGUUUGGGACAGACUGUUUUCUCCUCUGCGUCGCUACUUUUCAUGUGCUUCGAUAUUGACUUCUACGCGUACUCUGCUUUCUGGUAAAAAUCCUAUUCUUAUCUGGUUAUCUAUCAAAAUUUCUGACUUCGAUAGCCACGUGAUUAAUCGGCUUUUAUUCUCUCUCUGCAUUUCAAUUUUUUUGUUGGUUAAUUUAUCUUAUUACCGGUUGUUCUUGGGGGAACCAUAAAUGAUUUUGAGGAAGAUGCAUCUUGUUUUGUUGAUUGUUGAUUGUUUUGAUUUGGCUUCUACAUUUGACGAAGAAAAUGUCUUCAGUGGACGAGGAUUUGCCUGUUUUAUAUUAAUUGAGAAAAGUCAUGAUUGGAUUGAUAACUUGAUGAACAGGAAAGAAAAGAAUGAUAACCACAUCUCUCUGCCGACAAUUCAUUCUACUACUGUGCAGAGACAAUUUCGAAAAAGCCUACAUUUGUUUUCAGCUGAAUCAAGGGGAUUCACAGUUUUUGCUGUUUAAAAUUUGUAAUUUAUCUUUUCUAUUUUGCUUGAUAUUUUAUUAGUAAAGGUAAUUAUGGAUUAUUUUAUAAUUAGUUAUUUCAAUUUUUAUUUUCUUUUUCUUUCCUCUCUAUUCCUAUACUAAUUAAGCCUAACAUAGUGUAAAAGAUUUCCUAUGUCCAUCCAAUUUUAUUACAAAAAUUCAUAAUUCAUACUCAUCCAUUGCUACCACUUAUUAAUAAUCUAAGCUCCUCCUGUAAACAAACUGCAUAUUAUUAUAAAUCUGUCUGUGAGUUGUAGGGCUUCAAGUAGAUGGUAUAAAUUUCCAAUGAGUCCUCUUCAACAAAAAGAUUACAACAGAUUUUCUAUUUUGAAUUUCUAGCCAAGGGUAGUACUCCCAUUGAUAAAACAUGACUGAAAUUUGACUUGAAUGAAGUACAUUUAUUGAAAAGCUGAGGCAGAAGAACUGCAGUAUCUUACUGAAAGCCAUUGCAACUAAUUUUUGUCAUGAUAAUGAUUCUAAAAGGACUCGCUUCCCACUCAAAGAACUAAUGAGCUUCUAAUGCUACUUAUUACAUGCACUGAAAGAACUGAUUAAUGGGUUACUAUUGCAUAUAUUAGUCACCCUGUUGGAAAUCUUUUACUAUUCUUGUGCUUCUCCUUUUAAGUUACUUCAUCUCAUGGCUUGAAACUUUUAUGUCCGGCUGGGAAGAAUACAAAGAUGAGUAGAUUUCUGUUUUCCAGUCGUACCUCUAUGAUUAAUUAGUUUACCCAACUAACUGAUAGUGGCAUAUUUUUUUUUCUUUUUCGACUUUGUUAUUUAACUGUGAAAUUUUUGGUAUUGCCUACAUAUAUUUGCAGCUACUUGGUCACAGUCAUGGGUUUGNNNNUCAGGUUUUAUCAUUUCUCUCAUUAGCUGCAGCUGCUCAACAGCUAGUGUAACAGAUAUCUGCUUGAUCUUAAUGGACCAUUCUGCCAUGAGAAGUUAUGCAGUAGAUAUCAACUGUCCGCCGCUAUGGCUUUCCUGUCUUGGUUUCUGUCCUUGGCUUUGACUCUCUUCAAUCUUUGGCUGCUUCCUUUCUUUGUAAUUUCUCACCUCUCACUAGUUUUAGUUUUAAUCCUUACGCAUAAACUAAAUGGGCAAAAUCUGGUCAAAAUCUUGGUUGAUUUUAUAUUGGUGAUGGUAUAUAUUUACAGUCAUGGUAAGAGAUACAAAUUUGUUGGGUUUGAUUGGGAUCAAGUAUACAAGCUUCUUGUCUAAAUUUCCAGAAAUAAUGGUUCUCUGUAAUUACCAACUACAGGCGAUAAUUUUUCAAUUAGCUUGAAGAAUAAAAAUUUUAAACCAAAUUAUAUUUUCAUUUGAAUUUGCACUCUCUUUUUAUUGUAUUCUUAGUUUUAAUUUAUAAAAUUUAAAAUUCGGGCUAAACUCCACUAAAAUGUUAAAAUUUAUUUUUAAAUAUCAAACUUUUAUACUUGAAAUUGUUCUAAACAUGAGAAAUCAUUUUUAAACAAAGUAUUUUGAAUUUUGAAUUUUGAAUUUUGUUAAUAUUGAUAAAUUUUGAAAAUAUAUUAUAAUAAUGUAAAAAUAUUUAUUAACUAUAAUAUGUAUCAUCAUAUAAAUAUUAUUUAACAGAAGAAUUUAUUUUCAAACGAAUAAUUAAAAUUUCGUAUUAUGAUAAGCAUAUAUUAACAUUUAAACAUAUAAAUUUUGGGGGCCACCCCUUUGCACCCUCUCAAAAGUCAUUCAUUUCUACUUUUCUGUGGCAAGUGAAACUACAAUUUUUGUUUUUUUUGUUGAAGAAUUUUGAUUGAGGGGAAUAACUUUUUUUUUUAAAAAAAAUAAUAAUUAAUAUAAUCUCAAAUUCUAACGUUAUCAGCAAAUAAAAAUUUCUUGUACUUUCAGAAUUUCUCUCAAUUCCAAAAUUGUCCUUGAUUAAUUUGGUAAGUUACAGGUUUGUUUGGUAUUGCUGUAGAUUAAAAGACUGUUUUUACUUUAAUUAAAAAUUUAUUGUCAUAAUUAAUAAUAAAAUAUUAUCGAAACUUUGAAAGAAUAUAUUUAUAUUUUAUAAUAUUAUGGAUAUUCAAAUGAAAUUUUAUAAAAAUAUUAUUUAAAUUUAAAGGAAAAUACUUGUCUUUAGUACUAACUAUUUAAAAAUGUUAUGAUGCAGAGGAUCAUACACCAACAGUUCAUCAUUCCUCACUCACCAACCAAUUGUUGUUGUUACAUGUUAUUCUUUUAUUAUUCAUAUUAUAACGUUGUAAAUAGAAUUAAAUUUUUUUAAUAAGAUGUAGGUAAGAACUGUCUCAUCAUAUUCAUUUAAUAUUUUUUUAUAGAAGUUGUAACUCUAAUAGUUUAUGAUCACUAAAAUCAAUAACGUCAAGCUAAAGCUUAGAACUAAUUUUUUUUUUCUUCCUCUUUUUUUGGUACUUUUACUAAAAGGUUAAAUUUCUCAAAAAUACUUUCUAUUGAUUUAUCUUAUAUAGAGGACAAUGUUUAGUUUGAGUUGGGGGAGGAAACCACAUAUUUUAUUUAUAUAUUUUAAUUGUACACCUAAGUUUAAUCAUUUUUAAGUCUUUUCAUCUUAAAUACCUUAAUUCCUUUUCGUUUUGGAUCAUAAGAAAAUCUUCUCGUUUUCUAUUCUAAAUCCAUUUAUUAAAAAAAAAUGAGUUGAAAUUUUUCUUCAAAAUUUUUGUUUUAAUUUUCUUUGGCUAGAAACACUAAUGCAUGUUUGCUUAAUAUUGUGUGCUGCAAAGAAUUUGAUUGAAAGUCGAAUAACUAUCUGAAACUUUGACAUGUGUGUUUGGCUAGUAGAAUGUAGGAGAUAUUUUGGCCUUGAUAAAUAGUUAUGCACACAAACAUAACCAUGAACAAUUGGUAGGAAAAUUUUUAUGAACACUAAAUGAUGUACUUAGGAAAUCUAUUACCUAGUUGGAAUAAUAAGCCACGAAAGCUGAAGAAUGUAAUAGAAAAGGUCCAAGAAUCAAUGGCUAAAGACAUAAGGUUCGUGGUCAAGGGUGUAGACUAUGACUUCUAAAUUUUGAACCAUGGGACACGAGAAGAAAUUUAAGUCUGAUCUACUUCUUGCAGCUAAAAAUUUUAGUUUUCUUUUCUAAACGAUUCCACAUGCCUAAUUUCAAGAUUACCUAAGGAGCUCAAAAAGUAUAAUCGAAUAUUCACGAUUCUCAACUAUCUACUACAAGCAUUGACCUUAUUAAACUUGGUGAAUUGUACCAACGAAGUUGAGCCCUAACCAGGUUGAAAAUCCAUUUUAAUUUUAAGCCUCACCCAGAAAAGUAAUGGUGGCACAACCAAAAAAUCUAUUAAUGGAAGGCCUGGGAAAUUGGUGCAAUGCCUCCAUCACUCUUGUUUACAUGAAAAAGCCUCUAAAUCUAAACCCCAUCGAAUAUCUGCUGAAAUUCUAAAUGAUGAACAGGACGCUAUAUGAGUUUUCCUGUUACUUCUAAAAAAAUUAUUUUCUUGAAAACAGCUUCUCUAUGGCAUAAGAAUUUAAUAUGGUUGUUCCUUAAAAUGAAAUAAAUAGUGACAUCGUCCAGAAUAAUUGAAGCUGAGUCUUAAGGAAGUCAUUAAUUAGCUAUGGCUUAUUGAUCUCGACUUUAAAACUGAAAGUUCAACGUGGAGAGUAAGAAGGAAAGGCUUAGCCAAAAAAGAAGAGUGGAGGAGAAUUUCUUUUAGAGAAAUAAAGCUGUAACUGGAGCUUUACGGGCUUAUGAAAAUAGAGAAGUUGACAUGGGAACAAAAAGUAAGACAAAACUGGAUCAAAAGAGUAAUCUCAACACCAAAUUCUUCCAUCUUUCAUCCCUUAUUACAACAUUAAUUUUAUUCAAGAUGGUAUGUGAAGCAAUUUCAUUCAUCCAACAACUUGUUCAAGUGUGAUAAUCUAGACUUCCCUUUAGACUUGAAGGGCAUUUUUUGUACCUCAAUAAAGAGAUUCUACAACUAGUUAAGAGCAUUAGAGCUAAUAACUGAUGAAAUGUCAGCCUUGUUUUAUCAAACUUUCUAGACAAUUUUAUGUAGAGAGUUCGUGACAACACUUUGUACUUUGUUAGGUAUGGAUUCUUAAAACAAUUUAAUCAAGCAAAUUUAAUGUUUAUCCCAAGAAUGAAGAUGCAAAGCAUGUUAAUCAUAUAAUAAUGUUUCUCUAUGUAGUAUAUUUUACAAAAUAAUCUCUGAAAUGUAAGUUGUUAGGGUGAGACCCACUACGUAGAUUUUAAUUUCCCUGAAAUGUUCCACAAUCUUUUCUUAUAUCCCACAAACUUUUCAUUCUUUUUCAUUCUUUUAAGCCUUCAUCAAGCUCCUAAUUGUGCUAUUCAAUUGUGCAUCUACUCUUAAUAAGAAAAAACUUUUCGUACAUCCCUGAAAGAAUAUGAAUAAAGAAGUUACAGCUUUUUCUCAUUAAGAGUAAAUGUACAAUUGAACAGACAAUUAGGAGCUUGAUGAAGGCUCAAAAGGAUGAAAAAUAUAUUUUUUUUCGAGUUAAAUAUUUAUGUACAAUGUCUCUCCUAGAUUUAGAAUCUAUUUGAGGUACUAUUUAUAGGUAGGAAGGCCAAAAACAUCUGUUAGAGACAAUUUUGUAAUUGAUUUAACCUUUAAAAAAUGUGACAAUUUUACACAAAAUAUACACGAAAUUCUGCAAUGUGUUCUGUAUCAUUGACAACAUAAUCUUAAAAUAGUAGUAAACUAUUAAGAGAGUGUUUUGACCUAACACUCUUUUAUGCUUAUAGCAAAUUAUUCUCCCUAUCAAAUUUGGAUUCUAUUUUUCUACUAUUUUAACAUUAAAAAUGACAUUUUGACAUAAAAACCAGUGUGAUUUAUAUUAGGAUAUAACAUCAUUAUAUAUCCAAUCAUACAUAAUAUUAAAAAGUUUUAAAUUGUGAUCUACUAGAUCACUCUUGAUAUUAUAUGUCUCUAAAGAUAAUAUCUUUUAAGCAUAUAGAGGUGAUUUUAAAAUCAAAUCUACUAUCACGCAAAUAUAUAAAAUCAUAAAAACAUUUUGUUUUUGAACUCCUCCAACAUAUAAAUUUAAGUUUAAAAACGAUUUUAAGAAUCAUUUUUUUAUUAAUCUAAUCUCUUUAAAAAUGUUGCGAAUUUAUCUUUAAAAACAAUUGUAUCUUUAAGGAGAUUUUUAAUAUGAUGGUCAAAGAAAAAAUUUUUGAAUCUUAAUCCAUGAGAACCUUAAUUUUACAAUAAAGUUAAAAGUUUUUAAAUAAUUUACUCUUUGGUCUUCAGAUGUUUGUUUUCUCUAUAAUGCUCUUAUCGUGGCUUAUUCCUUUUGCUUGAGUUAAGCUUUUCAUGCUGUCUCAACAACUCACAAGGUAUCAUUAGUGAAAAAAAACAAGUUUGUGUAACUCAUCAAAAACAAUGGAUUACAACAUUUUGUUCAACACCCAAGAAAAGAAUGACUCACCCUUCUGAAAAAGCAUUAUAAAUUAUGCGGGGUGGAAAUGGAUGACUCCAUCAAUCGAAAACACUUCGAUCAUGAACCCACUAUAUUCAAUAAUUCGAAAACUUAAUUAUCUAAAUUCAACUCUCUCUACUAGAACUACAGUCAACGUAUUGAAAGAUUAUUCAGGUAAAUAAGAACUAAAAAAGAAUAAGAAAAGAAGUCAUGACUUACCCGAUAAUUCGAUCCCAAUUCCAUGCCUUAAUGAACCAGUCUGAAGCUCCCUACCUUGAAGACGUCUGCAAUACAUUCAAAAAUUAGUAGAGCUAAUUUCAGAGAAAAACAAAAGCUUUGAUUUAUUGAUUUCUAAAAUCGUAAAUUGGGAGUUACAACCUAUGAUGAGGUCUUUUUAUAGGUUUUCACCUAAAAUAUUCUAAUCGAAUGCAAAUACUUGAUAUUUAAUCAAACUCUAUUAGAUAAUUAUUUAUCUUAAUCUUAGGAUUAAAAUAUGCUUAAAAUAAUUAUUGGAAUAAUAGCUUAUUCUAAUCCUAAGGCUAAAAUAAUAGGUAAUUAAUCAAGCAGAUAAAGUAUAACAUUAAGUUUUAAUAAAAUAAUUAUAGGGAUAAUUUUCUUCUCUUCUCCAUGUGUUGUAAUUUGAAGUAGACUUGCUAUAUAAUUCUUUAAAGAAAUCACGUCAAAAAAAUCACAUGGAAAAUAAAAAAGAAGACUCCUUACAGGAAUUAAUUUCUCUCGCUCGUACGCCUCACCCGCACAGGCUGGGAAUCAUUCAUGCCCGAGCUGCCUGCACAAGUUACCUCCGCGAGCUACUUGCCUAGGCUGUCCAUGCAUGCAAUCUAGCUUGUCUGCAGCCUAACACACUUUCCUCCCAUGCACAUUAUACGUGCGCAUUGUCUUGGCGUGCGAGCUACCAUGUUCACACUCACAAGUGCACAGACCUUCAUCAUGGGUGGGUUGUCCUUCCUGCAUGGGUGAAAAUGGUGCAAGGCCUCCUACCUGUGCGAUUUUUCUUAGCCAAAGGCCCUCUAGCCAAGAUUCAUUAGCCUGACUCCUUCUUUAGUCGUAAAGGCCCUAGGCUCUUCGAGUCCACCUUGGCCUUUUCAAGUUGGGCUUAUACAAGCCUGUUCGGUUAGGGCCUUAUGAAUGGAACCCCCAGCUCCCUCUUUGAGCUUGAGCUCUUCAUGGCCAAAUCCCUUUGGGCCUUCUUUGAUCCACGCGGCUUGAUCUCCUCCAUGAUCAUUUAGAUUGGCCUUGUGUCCACCCUAUUAAAUUGACACUCUUUGAAUACAACUAGAAAUAGUUUUGCCUUGGCCAAACUUCUCCUAAGUGGGUCUUUAUGGGCCUUUACUUGGCGACAAGCUUGGCGGGUUUGGCCUUCCUUCCCUUUCUUUUGGUCACCCUGUCUCUAUAGGUUGCAACCUCUUCCGUGGGUUGGGUCAUACGCGCACAUCACAUGGGUUGCCAUGGAUGGUUGCACGCGGCAUGUUGGGUAAAUGUGCGUGUGCAUGCCUGGCUAGCAACUUGCAGCUUGGUGUCAAUGCGCAGGUGUCUUAGUCUCCGCAGGCUUCACAUUCUGAAAGUAGUUCAAGCCUUCUUGAUCUCACGUCAUCUUCCCUUCUUUGAAAAUUUUUUCCUCAAAUCUACUUAUUCGUCACCCAAUGAACUUGGUGAAAACAAAAAAAAAAUGUGAAAAGAAUUCAGUUGAUACUGUGGUUUAGUGGAGCACAUCCUCAUGUAGAGUUGAGCGAACAUUUUAGCUCGAAGGCCUAUCUGUUGAUUUAUUAUCACUCGUGUUUUGCCACUCAACACUCAAACUUCACCAGUCAAGUUUAGUGUCAGAAAUGAGAUCUUCUUGAAUUGAGUUCAGCAAGUUAGAAAUAAUUUGCAAAAAUUCCUAGCAUGCUCUAGAAGCUCAAAUAUGCAUGCUAGAUUGAAUGAAAGUGCAAUGCAGACUCCGUAAUACAGUAAUUUGAAAUAUGGAGCAACGGUUUUCACGCGUCUAUAAAGACAACUAAUCUUCCUUGCUCGUGCAAUGUAAAAAUUACAGUUUUCGUGCACACCUGAUAGGUGAGGUAAUUUUCUUUUAAUGAAUCAAAAGCUUUCGUCACACUGGUAGAUGGUUAAUCUUCUUAUGUUUGUAAAUGCAACAGAAUGGACUUAGAUUACUUUAUGAGGUGGAAUCGGUUUUCUUUUAUCUUUUUUCUAAUUUUUUUUACUAAUUUCACAAACAAAAUACCACUUGAAAGAACGAACUGGAUAUGAUCAAGUGGGAUGCAAAUCAUAAACAAUAACAUAUUAGCAACGAGGUGUUUUAGUUGCUAAUUAUGCAAGAAUACAUUGCAAAGCAAAUUGACAUAGUAGGCUUAAUAAGGUGCUUAAACUCUAAUACUAAAUGAUGCGGGGUGGAUAUGGAUGACUCUAUUGAUCGAAAACACCUCGAUCAUGAUUUGCUAUAUUCAGCAAUUUAAGAACUUAAUUACCUAAAUUCAAUCCUCCCUACUAAAAUCACAGUCAACAUAUUAAAAACUUAUCUAGGUAACUAGAAAAAAAAGGAAAGAUGUCAUGACUUAUAUAAUAAGUCGAUCGCGAUUUUCCAACUCAACCAAGUAGUCUGAAGCUCCCUAACUUGAAUGCACUUGAAGAACACGCAAAAAGUAGUAGAGCUAAUUUUAAAAAAAACAAAAGCUUUGAUUUAUUGAUUUCUAAAGUUGUAAGUUGUGAAUUACAUCCUACGGUGAGGCCUUUUUAUAGGCUUUCACUUGAAAUAUUCUAAUUGAAUAAAAAUACUUGAUAUUUAACCAAACUCUACUAGAUAAUAAUUUAUCUUAAUCUUAGAAUUAAAAUAUGCUUAAAAUAAUUAUUAAAAUAAUGGUUUAUUCUAAUCCUAAGGCUAAAAUAAUAGGUAAUUAAUCAUGUGGAUAAAAUAUAACAUUAAGUUCUAAAAUAAUUAUAGGGAUAAUUUCUUCUCUUCUCAACGUGUUGUAAUUUAAAGUAGACUUGCUGCAGAAUUCUUUGAAGAAAUCACCCCUCAAAAAUCACAUGAAAAUAAAGGAAGAAGACUCCUUGCGGGAAGCAUCGUUUCCUACUCUCACGCCACACCCACAGGGGUUGGGAAUCCCGUAUGCGUGCAUUGUCUGCACGUGCGGCACAGCUUGCGCAUAACUUGACACACUUUCCUCCUAUGCGUGCUUCACAUGAAUGUUGUCUUGGGUGUGCCGACUGCCCAGUUCACACACACAAACAAGCAUACCUUCUUCAUGGGCGGGUUGUCCUACUUGCAUGGGUGUAAGCCUGAAUCCAUGUGCAAGGCCUCUUGCCUACAUAAUUUCUCAUAGCUAAAGGCCCUCCUGGCCGAGAGUCAUUAGUCCGACUCCUUCUUAGGCUGGAAAGGCCCUAGGCUCUUCGGAUCCAUCUUGGCCUUCUAGGGAUGGGCUUAUACAAGCCUAUUCGGUUAGGGCCUUAUGAAUGCAACCCCUGGACUCACUCUUUGGGCUUGAGCUCUUCAUGGUCGAAUCACUUUGAGUACUCCUUGAUUCAUACAGUUCGAUCUCCACUAUGAUCACUUAGAUCCGCCUUGUGGCCACCUUGUCAGGUCAGCUCCCUUUGAGUGCGACUAGAAACCAUUUCGCCUUGGCCAAGAUUCUCUUAAGAGGGUCUUCAUGGGCCUUUGUUGUAACACCCUGAUACUCGAUAUGAGACAUAAUUCCUACUCAUGUCAUUUUUAUGCAGUGAGUUCACAAAAUAUACAUAUGCAUAGCUCAAAAUUUAUCAUACAACCUAGUAUCCUAUGCCAUAUAUAUACAGUAAUUAUAUAUACAUGAUGUCAAAAUUUAGGGUUUAACAAAAUAAAACAAAAAUUUCUCAAAUAUGCACAAAAUAUACAAAAUAGAAACCCUUUUACAGGUCCUACUAUUUGGCAGUGGUGCUGCCUCUUCCUUCUCAUCUAAGAAAUAUCAUGGUAAAAUUUAAUGAGUUUCUCCAACUGAAUAAAUAUUUCUGUUCUCUUGACCCAGAUAAAAUUUCAUGCAAAGCACAUGGUAAGAAACAAAAGCAAUAAUAAUAUUUCAAUGCAAAAUUCAUUUUCUUAUUUUCACCAUUUCACAUGUUUCGGAUCGACUUUCUGAAUUCUCUCGAAUAUUAUAUACAAUCAUCAAAUGUAUAUCCACAUACUCUCUAAAGACAUAAAUACACUCGAAUAUCAAUCAUCAUUUCGAAACAUAAUCACAUGCACACAAAAGAUUACAUAUACACUCGAAAUGUCAUUUCUAAGGUUUCAUCGCGCGAUGUCGAUUAUGUCAUUAUCGAAGAGAGGCAAAAUGGAUCCACCCAUCGCAUAGAUAGAACACUCACAAAUCUUAUAAUGACCACAACAGGUAUAUUUACUAGAUGACCCAUACUCACAAAUAUCUAUCCACAUCUAAAUUAGGUUUCAGACUCUAUCCAUAUGUAGGUUCACCAUGCCCACUGAACUUCAGCCACACACACACACACUCCCCUCCUCGAUUCGGACCAAACGAAAGGGCAUUCAGGGUCCAUACUCUAAGUAUUCACAACUCCUCAUUUUUUACUUCUUAUUUAUUUUAUUCUUAUUCUAGUUUCUCUGAAAUUUUAUUUAGCUGAUCAUUUCACGACCAUAAUUGUUUUUUUCCUUUCAAUUUUUACCGUAUUAUUUUAUUUUAUUUUAUUUUUUUCUAGUUUUCUAUUUAAUUAGGAAUUUCUCUUAAUUUUUAAAUUCAUAUCUCAUCACAGUCCAAUUAAUUCUCAGUCUUUUGGGUCUGUUUUUUAGUUUCGUCUCCUUAUAAAUUUUCAAUUGCUUAGGUUCACUGAUCAUAGGAUUGGGUUCUGUUCUUCAUCGAAAAUUGGGUCAGUAUCCGUUCAAAUUUCAAAAUACCAUAAUUUAAUGAAAUACAUGCAAUUUUCAAAAUUCAAAUCGAGUUGAGAGUUAUAGAUACUUAUACUCUUAUGCAUCUUCCCAGAUCCGCUUGAAUGUCCAAAUUUUCCUAUACACACGAUAUAAAUUAAUUAAAAUACUUCGAAAUACUAAAUAUUAAUUUAAUCGAAUUACAGUUUUCAAUGACCACCCAACGGAAUACUCGAAAUUAUCAGGAUCCGUACCCAGAAACCUUUCGGUUUCCCAUUUGGUGGAUUAUAUUCUCAUUUUUCGAUGAAGACUUUUCAUCUUUCCGAAUGGAGAAUCACAAUCCCAAGAGGUGAUUCUGGCCUCCAUUCCCACGGAAGACCCUUCAGCUUCCAUGGUGGGUGAGUUUGCCCCAUUAUCAAGGGAACCUCCUCGGUUCCCGUACGCGUGGGUGGCCCGACUGAGCCUGCGAGGUUAGCUCGACACCAGUCAUGCUCCACCAUUGUUCAAACCAUCACCAAAGCAUAAAAACAAAACGGUUUUACUUUCGGUGAGAGUGAUUUAGCCUCAGUUUGGCUCUCGGUCACCCUGCGGUCGUUUAGCUUGGUCGAGACUCGAAUGUGAUUUUUCAAACCUACAAACUGAUUAGUAAAGAAAAUAAAAGAAUCUAACGAAAUAAAAAAAAUGAAUUAUUGAAAAAUAGAGAUGAAAAGGACGAAACUUACUAAUUUUUUAAACACCAACAUCGUGUGCAGCUCGACUUUGGAUUCUGCUGUCACAUGGUUUUCCUCGACUGCGACAUCCUUUCUUUCCUUUUCCUUCGGUUUUCAGCCUUUGCGAUUCUUUCUCUUCUCCUUUCCCCUUGCAUGGCCGUUCACAGCCUUCCCUCUCUUCCCACUCAGCCACACCCCUUUUUCCUCCAUUUCUCUCUUUUUUUCUCCCUUUCCCUAUUCCUUUCUGGCCUCUCUCUUCUUUCCUCUCUCUUUUCUCUCUCUCGGCUUCCUUGCACGACACCCUUUCUUCCUUCUCUCCCCGAUCACCCUUCUCUCAUUCUCCCUCUCUCUUUUUUGGCUUCUCUUCCAAAUGAAAAAACCUUAAUCUUUUUCUCUUUUAUACCCAUUUUUCCAGCCGUUAGAUCUUACAAGCUCGAUCUGGGCUGUUCAUUUUCUUUUAAAUCUCCUCCAUCUGAUCUCCUCCAGCGGUCCGAUCUAGGUCGUCCAUUUUUCUGAUUUCCUUUGCCCCCUUCCACUUCUCAUUAUUUAUGUUUUUAUCCCCUUUUGUCUUACAUUCUUUCAUUUAGGUUCUUAAAAUUAAAUAAAAACCUCCAAGAUUGUAAAUUUUUUUCAUUUAUAUCUUAAUUCUAAUUUUAUUAAUUUAUUUUACAUUUUUUUUGUUUUCUUUAGGUGGAUGUUAUAUUUGUUUGGCAACAAGUAUGGUCAGUUUGGCCUUCAGUCACCCUCUCUAUGUCACGCCCCUUCUCCCCAAGUUGCGACCACUUCCGUGGUUUGGGCUAUAUACGCACAUUACGCAGGUUGCUAUGGAUGUUUGGGCACGCAUACUGGGUAGAUGUACACAUGUGACAUGGCUAGCAACUUGCGACUUGGUGUCAAU
rnacentral:lncRNA from 1 species